rnacentral:rRNA from 1 species
AGUCUUAUACUGGGCAGUCGACGAGAGACCUUCGGGUCUCUAGUGGCGAACGGGUGAGUAACACGUAGGGAACCUGCCCGCGCACCGGGAAUACGCUCUGGAAACGGAGAACAAAUCCCGAUGUACAGGAAGGAGGCAUCUUCUUUCUGUGAAACAUCCUUUAGGGGAUGGGGCGCGGAUGGACCUGCGGUGCAUUAGUUGGUUGGCGGGGUAACGGCCCACCUAGUCUUCGAUGGAUAGGGGUUCUGAGAGGAAGGUCCCCCACAUUGGAACUGAGACACGGUCCAAACUCCUACGGGAGGCAGCAGUGAGGAAUAUUGGUCAAUGGGCGGUAGCCUGAACCAGCCAAGUAGCGUGAAGGAUGAAGGUUCUAUGGAUUGUAAACUUCUUUUAUAAAGGAAUAAAGUGAGGCACGUGUGCCUUUUUGUAUGUACUUUAUGAAUAAGGAUCGGCUAACUCCGUGCCAGCAGCCGCGGUAAUACGGAGGAUGCGAGCGUUAUCCGGAUUUAUUGGGUUUAAAGGGUGCGUAGGUGGUUAAUUAAGUCAGCGGUGAAAGUUUGUGGCUCAACCAUAAAAUUGCCGUUGAAACUGGUUGACUUGAGUAUAUUUGAGGUAGGCGGAAUGCGUGGUGUAGCGGUGAAAUGCAUAGAUAUCACGCAGAACUCCGAUUGCGAAGGCAGCUUACUAAACUAUAACUGACACUGAAGCACGAAAGCGUGGGGAUCAAACAGGAUUAGAUACCCUGGUAGU